rnacentral:rRNA from 1 species
UGGGGAAUAUUGCACAAUGGGGGAAACCCGUACGAUGCAGCGACGCCGCGUGAGCGAUGAAGUAUUUCGGUAUGUAAAGCUCUAUCAGCAAGGAAGAUAAUGACGGUACUUGACUAAGAAGCUCCGGCUAAAUACGUGCCAGCAGCCGCGGUAAUACGUAUGGAGCAAGCGUUAUCCGGAUUUACUGGGUGUAAAGGGAGCGUAGACGGUCGGGCAAGUCUGAUGUGAAAGCCCGGGGCUCAACCCCGGAACUGCAUUGGAAACUGUUUGACUAGAGUGCAGGAGAGGUAAGCGGAAUUCCUAGUGUAGCGGUGAAAAUGCGUAGAUAUUAGGAGGAACACCAGUGGCG